rnacentral:tRNA from 1 species
GGAGAGAUGCCGGAGCGGCUGAACGGACCGGUCUCGAAAACCGUUGCGGGGUAACUCCGCCGAGGGUUCGAAUCCCUCUCUCUCCGCCA